AACGAACGCUGGCGGCAGGCUUAACACAUGCAAGUCGAGCGGAGAGAGGUAGCUUGCUACUGAUCUUAGCGGCGGACGGGUGAGUAAUGCUUAGGAAUCUGCCUAUUAGUGGGGGACAACAUUUCGAAAGGAAUGCUAAUACCGCAUACGUCCUACGGGAGAAAGCAGGGGAUCUUCGGACCUUGCGCUAAUAGAUGAGCCUAAGUCGGAUUAGCUAGUUGGUGGGGUAAAGGCCUACCAAGGCGACGAUCUGUAGCGGGUCUGAGAGGAUGAUCCGCCACACUGGGACUGAGACACGGCCCAGACUCCGACGGGAGGUAGCAGUGGGGAAUAUUGGACAAUGGGCGCAAGCCUGAUCCAGCCAUGCCGCGUGUGUGAAGAAGGCCUUAUGGUUGUAAAGCACUUUAAGCGAGGAGGAGGCUACUUUAGUUAAUACCUAGUGAUAGUGGACGUUACUCGCAGAAUAAGCACCGGCUAACUCUGUGCCAGCCGCCGCGGUAACAC
rnacentral:rRNA from 1 species